UGGGGAAUAUUGGACAAUGGGCGCAAGCCUGAUCCAGCCAUGCCGCGUGAGUGAUGAAGGCCCUAGGGUUGUAAAGCUCUUUCACCGGUGAAGAUAAUGACGGUAACCGGAGAAGAAGCCCCGGCUAACUUCGUGCCAGCAGCCGCGGUAAUACGAAGGGGGCUAGCGUUGUUCGGAAUUACUGGGCGUAAAGCGCACGUAGGCGGAUCGAUCAGUUAGGGGUGAAAUCCCGGGGCUCAACCCCGGAACUGCCUCUAAUACUGUCGAUCUGGAGUUCGAGAGAGGUGAGUGGAAUUCCGAGUGUAGAGGUGAAAUUCGUAGAUAUUCGGAGGAACACCAGUGGCGAAGGCGGCUCACUGGCUCGAUACUGACGCUGAGGCGCGAAAGCGUGGGGAGCAAACA
rnacentral:rRNA from 1 species